UUCUCAUCAUUAGACAUGUUUUAUCUUUCUUUCAAAAGACACUAAAUGCUGCUAUUUCACUCUUCUGUAUUUUAACAGUUCAUUUUAUGUGGCGAAAGCAGCUCAUCCACAGUCCACUGACCAAAGACAUCCUCUCUUCGGCCAUGUACCAGCCAAAUGCCGCCUUAAGUCCAGGAAAAGUUUUCUGAAAAGUGUCCCACCCCUCAGAACGCCGAACACAGGCAGUGAAAGAGUCACUCGGCGGGAAGAAAGACUUGACAAUCUUCCACCAGAAACUACAAUGGAGCUUAAAGCAAGCGAGGCAAUGACCCCAGGAGCAGACACCAACUAUGUAUGCAACGUGGAAAUGCCUAAAUAGACUAAGAUCUGGUGUUGGACGUGCAAAAGUCACUCUCACCAAAUGGGGACAUCUGGAGGAUCGGAACAGCGAGUGUGACUGUGGCACUGAACCACAGACCAUGCAACACCUCCUCAUGUGCCCCUGCUGGAACAUCCCUGCACAGCAUCGAAUUUAGCAGAGUUUAACGAGAAGGGACAGAAAUGUGUUCAGCUGUGGCUCAACCACAUCUAGCCAAGCCUGUAACUAACUGCCUUGUAGCCACGAUAAGAAGAAGCUCAUCCCAGAAUCGAGGCCAGAGGUAGCCAUGACAUAUUACUUUAUUGUAAUAGGGCAACAGUUUCAAGAACACCUGUACAAGGGAGGCCUGCAUCAUGGAACACAAACUCCCAAACACACAUGACUUCUCCUGCUUCUUCUCACAGCGAGAGCCACGCAUUUCAAGAAGACUUGUACAAGGGAGGCCUGCAUCAUGGAACACAAACUCCCAAACACACAUGACUUCUCCUGAUUCUUCUCACAGCGAGAGCCACGCAUUUCAAGAAGACUUGUACAAGGGAGGCCUGCAUCAUGGAACACAAACUCCCAAACACACAUGACUUCUCCUGCUUCAUCUUAUGUUCCUGGGUCUUGCCUGUGGUUCUACAUGCAUCCAGUCAUGCAGACAGAGAACACUUUAGCCUUUAACUAUCGGAAGCUGUCCCUCUGCGAGGCCUCAUAGUAUAGUCUGUUUUCUGUUCUCAUUCAUUCAUUCAUUCAUUCAUUUAUUUAUUUAUUUAUUUAUUUAUUUAUUUAUUGAUUGAUUGAUUGAUUGAUUUAUUGGCCUUUCUAUAUUUCUUUGCCUUAAAUUUUGUUUAUUAAGUUUUGUGUUUCCAAUAUGUGCAUGUUCAUUUCAUCACAUACAAGUCCAGUCCAAUGUAUACGUUCAUGUUUGUCAUUUUGUAUGUUCAGUAUUUAUUGAGUCAGUUAGUCAGUUUAUCUAUUUUUUUUAUUAUUUAUAAGAUUUCACGCAUUAUAUAUUCCAUUCUGCCCAAAACAACUAAUAUCAUGCUGUAUUUUGGUUCCAAAAAGCACCAUGCAACUGUUUUUUUUCCUUCUUGUUUAGAAGGAAAAGUGUAAAGUGUAUGUUGACAACUUAUGUUGUGAUUUGUCGUAUAAAAUACCCUGUUUUGAAUGACAUU